CCAGCUUUAUUUGAGGCAUCUAAUGUGAGUUACAAGUGUAUAGUAAUCAGAAACAUUCCUUUGCAAUUGUGAGGGGUCAAUUAUUUGAUACAAAAUAUAAGUUACUGUGAUCUCAUAAAUCAUGUUUUCAGGUAUUUUCAAGAUCAAAUAUGGUUUACUGUUUACAUCAUUUGUCCUUUAGAUCCAGGGUGAGUUUCACAGAAUCACAACGGUGCACCUGGAAUCAAAGUUCAUGUCCAAGCUGGAUGAAUACUCUCCCAGGCUUCUGAACCUCUUCCACUCAAAGGGUGGGACCGCGGGAUUGAGGUUGCAGACUAUCCUACGGAAGGCUCCAAUCAAUCCUACCAUCAACAUAACCAGAGACAUUGUCAUCCGGUGUCUGAUGUUGUACCUUGGGGAAUCUGCUGAUCAGCUCUUUAAAGAGUAUGAUGAUGCAGAUGAAGACAGUGUGGCACAGGACCUUGCUGUACAAGAGAUGAAAAUCUACAGCAUCCAGACUAAUCUGUCAGAGGGUACAGAGGACAUCGGAAUCGUGAUAGACGGAACAAAGGUCCUGACUGCUCUGGGUAACUUUCCGAGGGCUUGUGCCAUGCUCAUUGGUUUGACAUAUGCAGUGAAUCUUGCCUAUCCCAAGGAGCUCAGGUACACUUUUGAAGCCUUUCAGAAACUCUUCCUUGAACUGGAUUGUUCAAAGCUUUCCCCAAAAGUGAACACCCUCAAGAACAAGCUUCUGGCUUAAGAGCCUAAAUACACUGGAGUGCUCAGUAAUUCUGUGCUGUAGUUAAGUGUUCAAUUCUUGUUCAGAAAAAAACAUGUUAUUCAUACUCAUUUGAAGGGUGUGAUGUUAUAUUUUGGACUUACAACUGCCACAAGUAACUUGUUUUUGUAGCUUGGUAUUCCAGAAGUAACGAGUAAAUGAUGAUGCUGCAUUAUAACCAGGACAGUGAGAGUUGUGUUUUGAAAACACAGAGCUUCUUGAUGGACUAUGAACACAUGGCCAUCAGCUUAGGACAUAUGGAUGCCAGUGACACAGUCCACUUUCACAGACGCAAAACCAGACACUCCUCUUGUUUUUCAUGAUUCUUCUGGUUGUUCUUGCAACACCACCUCACAGCUCCAUGAUGGAGAUGGACAAUAUUCUGCUGGGUCUUUACCUGGGAUUUGUGCCACUGUUAGUUGUGAGCUCAAGCUGUUCUGAUCUGACACUGAGGAAGCUACCAGUGCAAUUUACCUGCCUCAAAUAGCAAGAGCCUUUGUUUUUUCUCCAGAAAUAUUGUAUCACUCUGCUUGCAGGCCUCAAAGCUCCUGCCAAUUUGGAAAUAUACAUCUGUUUUUAUCUAAUGUAGUUGUUGAUGUUUCACAGAUUGUGGGUGUUCUGUAGGAAUUACUAAGUCACUGUCACAUGGUGUACUUCGAGGCUUUGUCUGAGUUUCAGUGCUGCAGUUAAUUACUCUUCAGGUGUGUUCAGAAAAAUGUGUCAUACUCAUUUGAGGGACUUGCUACUGUGAUUCUGUUGUGUACACGAGGGAUACACAUGUUGUAUGUUUUGAUAGAGGAAUUUGAAUUUGCACAAAUGAAUGAUUUGAGUGCCACUUUAGUUGGAGAUGAACUACCAAAUGAAUUACUUGACACACUGAUUUCAGAAUUCAAAAAAACCUUUAAAAUUUUGAUAUGAAAACUGAGUUAAAACAAAUCAAAACAUCCUUGUGAUGACUUAAGUCUGGGAUAAAGGCCAAAAUGUAAACACCAAACCUUGAAUCACACCCAAGACUCAUCUGGCCCUCAAUGCUCACAAGUGAUGGACAGCGCUCAUAGGUAAUUUGGCACUUUGGAGGAAUUUGUAGAUCUCUCUCAUCUUUCCUUCUCACUUCAUAAUAAGCCUUGAUCAAAAUGCAUAAUAGACAGAUUGCCAGCAUGCAUAUCCCUGUUGUACACAUGUUCAUGUCUGAUUACUUAUAGCCUUCCUUGUAUUUGUGCAUUUCAAACAAAAAAUGUUGAAAAUGUAUGUGUAAAGAAGUUGCACAAAUAAAUGUUUACCUGCUGUUCUCCUAUAUGGUAAUUUUGUUAACUGACCUUCAGUAAAUUAUUGCAACAUGAAGGCACAAUAUUUAAUAGAUUCAACAUAAAACAAUUAUGGCAACAAAGUGACAAUCACUAACAUUAAAUAGAUUUUAAGUCAUGUGAUACCAAUUAUAAGUUGAUUUGAACAAUUAAUUUAUGAAAAGAU
rnacentral:lncRNA from 1 species